rnacentral:rRNA from 1 species
UGUGUAGGCGGUUGUUUAAGUUUGGUGUGAAAUCUCCCGGCUCAACUGGGAGGGUGCGCCGAAUACUGAAUGACUAGAGUGCGGGAGAGGAGAGUGGAAUUCCUGGUGUAGCGGUGAAAUGCGUAGAUAUCAGGAGGAACACCGGCGGUGUAGACGGCUCUCUGGACCGUAACUGACGCUGAAACACGAAAGCGUGGGUAGCAAACAGGAUUAGAUACCCUGGUAGUCCACGCCCUAAACGAUGCAUAUUUGGUGUGGGUCAUUCAGUUGAUCCGUGCCGGAGCUAACGCGUUAAAUAUGCCGCCUGGGGAGUACAGUCGCAAGGCUGAA